rnacentral:rRNA from 1 species
UACAGAGGGGGCAAGCGUUGUUCGGAAUUACUGGGCGUAAAGGGCGCGUAGGCGGCCUUCUAAGUCGAACGUGAAAUCCCCGGGCUCAACCCGGGAACUGCGUCCGAUACUGGAAGGCUUGAAUCCGGGAGAGGGAUGUGGAAUUCCAGGUGUAGCGGUGAAAUGCGCAGAUAUCGGGAGGAACACCAGUGGCGAAGGCGGUUACCUGGAGCUUUGCUGACGCUGAUGCGCGAAAGCGUGGGGAGCGAUCCGG